rnacentral:lncRNA from 1 species
AUGCCGUCACAUUCAUCUGCCAUCCUUUUGUGUGUGUGUGUGUGUGUGUGUGUGUGUGUGUGUGUUUCUGCAUGCUUUUUCUCACAGGGCUGGUACAGUAUUGGUGGGCUUGUUCAAGAGGAACAGGGGUUACUGUUGUCCAUCCUGUCUGAACUGGGUCUGACACAGCAUUACAUGGCAGAUAACACUGAGCUGGCGACUACACUUUACUGCAGAGACUCCAACGGCACAGCUGAGUCCUACUUGCCCUGCAGAUUUGCGAUAUCCAGUGCAUAUCUGCAGCCUUUCCAAAAGACCAAGUUAUGUAUGAUGUUGGAAUAUUGAACUUGUAGUAUUCAACAUAGAUGUACAGUAUGAUAUGAAAAUUGAUAUUGGGCUGUCUUCUCUCCCUCAGGUCUCUGGUACUGUGGUAGUUGCAGUUCCACCAAUCCUCUUCAUCAUCCCCUGUGUUCUCAGGGAGCGUGGCAUCAUGUCUUAUCAUCUCUAGAACCAGGAAGACCAUCAGCCUAUCAUGUCUUAUCAUCACUAGGACCAGGAAGUCCAUCAGCCUAUCAUGUCUUAUCAUCACUAGGACCAGGAAGUCCAUCAGCCUAUCAUGUCUUAUCAUCACUAGGACCAGGAAGUCCAUCAGCCUAUCAUGUCUUAUCAUCACUAGGAUCAGGAAAUCCACGUGUCACACCCUGAUCUGUUUCACCUGUCUUGUGCUUGUCUCCACCCCCCACCAAGUGUCUCCCAUUUGUUCCCAUUAUCCCCUGUGUAUUUAUACCAGUAGUUUCUGUUUGUCUGUUGCCAGUUUGUCAAGCCUACCAGCAUGUUUUCCUGUACUUGUUUUUCUAGUCUGUUUUCUAGUCCUCCCGGUUCCGACCUUUUCUGCCUUCCUUGACCUCGAGCCUUUCUACCGUCCUGUACCCAUCUGACUGGUUAACGAACUUCUGCCUGUCCUCGACCUGCCCCUUGUCUAUUAAUGAAUAUCAGAGACUUGAACCAUCUGCCUCCUGUGUCUGCAUUUGGGUCUCGUCCUGUGUCUUUAUACCAUCAACCUAUCAUGUCUUAUCAUCCCUAGGACCAGGAAGCCCAUCAGCCUAUCAAAACUAUGAGGAAUGUAUCAGGAGCAACUCCCAGGAAGCAAUUUUUUUCACAGAUUGUAUUCUCAUUUUACAGAUUUAGUUUUUAUAGCUAAAGAUAAAUUGUCUUUUGUGUUUUUAUCUUUGUUUUAUCUGGAAUGAAGAUAGUACAAUGUCCAAAAUGUAAUGUAUAAAUUCAUUCCUAUGUACUGUAUGAUCAUGGUUUACAGAACUUUCUUUUGAUUGAGGUGUAUCAAUAAAGCAAACUGAUUUGACAAAUCA